rnacentral:rRNA from 1 species
GAACUGAAGAGUUUGAUCCUGGCUCAGAUUGAACGCUGGCGGCAUGCCUUACACAUGCAAGUCGAACGGCAGCGGGGGUAGCUUGCUACCUGCCGGCGAGUGGCGAACGGGUGAGUAAUACAUCGGAACGUGCCCUAUAGUGGGGGAUAACUAGUCGAAAGACUAGCUAAUACCGCAUACGACCUGAGGGUGAAAGUGGGGGACCGCAAGGCCU